UACGUAGGGGGCGAGCGUUACCCGGAAUCACUGGGCGUAAAGGGUGCGUAGGCGGCCGCGUGUGUCUGGCGUAAAAUACCACGGCUCAACCGUGGGAAUGCGCUGGAAACUACGUGGCUUGGGUGCGGCAGAGGCAGACGGAACUGCUGGUGUAGGGGUGAAAUCCGUAGAUAUCAGCAGGAACGCCGGUGGAGAAGUCGGUCUGCUGGGCCGUAACCGACGUUGAGGCACGAAAGCUAGGGGAGCGAACCGG
rnacentral:rRNA from 1 species